UCCCUGGUAGCUCAGAGGUUAAAGCGUCUGCCUGCAAUGUGGGAGACCUGGGUUCAAUCCCUGGGUUGGGAA
rnacentral:tRNA from 1 species